rnacentral:lncRNA from 1 species
GCAUAUGGAGGUUCCCAGGCUAGGGGUCUAACCGGAGCUGUAGCUACCGGCCUACACCACAGCCACAGCAACUCGGGAUCUGAGAUAUGUGUGUGACCUUCACACAGCUCACGGCAGUGCCAGAUCCUGAACCCACUGAGUGAGGCCAGGGGUCGAACCCACAACCUCAUGGUUCCUAGUCGGAUUCGUUAACCAUUGAGCCCCGACAGGAGCUCCCGGGUGUUUCUGAAUUUAGUAAAAAGCCAGUCCAAUGUCUCCAGAAAGGAAACUAUAUGAGUAGGUUUGCCUUGUAGAAAGAUCUCUCUGGGGCCAAUGCAGUGAUUGUGCUGGAGACAUGCUAGUCUCUUGUGAUUCCAGAUAGAGACGAUGAGAGACCCCAGAGAUGGGACAUAAGCAAUGUGGAAAUAAUUGAAACAUCCGAGUGAUAAUAUUCAUAAGACUAAGCCACGUUUCCUGAAUAUUUGUUCAUGGUGGGGAAACCGGAAUUCAAACCCAGGGAUGUUGAUAUGGCUUCUGUGGUCAACUCUCAGUGGUCGAUGUUGGACAUCUGAGCACACUGGCUAAAGUAACUUUAGGUUUGCGUGUGUGUGUGUGUGUGUGUGUGUGUGUGUGUGUGUGUGUGUGUGUGACAUCUGCAGGUCCUCAGACAUGGGUCCUUUACCACUCUUCUUAUUUUCAAAUUCAGUGUGCCCAGAGCACGUUCAGGCAGUUUCUCUACCUCAAAUGCAUGGAUUUUGUCCUAAGGGCUUUCUUUUCCUCGCUUUCGGACUUGGUCCCCCUUCUGCAAGGAAGAGGGCCAGGGCAGCAUCAAAGCUCUAGUCUUCCACUUGGUGAAGAAGGGGAGUGUUAAUCGUACAAGUUAUGAGACCCUAGCAGGUUACUUCCAAUUUCUGGACCUCAGGUUUAUUAUCGAAAAUUUUUAUUUAAAUCAGGGUUUCUUGCUGUGACACUCUCCACAUUUGGGGAUGACUUUUUCUUGUUGUAGAGGGGCUGUCGUGUUUAUUGUAAGAUGUUGAGCAGCAUCCCUGGAUUGUUUCAGUAUUGACAACCCAAAAUGUCUCUAGACAUUCCUGGGAACUUCCAUAUGCCAUAGGUACAGCCAUAAAAACAAAAGAAAACAAAAAUGUUGCAAAGUUCCUGUAAUGGCUCAGUGGUUAACGAAUCUGACUAGGAACCAUGAGGUUGCAGGUUUGAUCCCUGGCCUUGCUCAGUGGGUUAAGGAUCCAGCAUUGCCAUGAGCUGUGGUGUAGGUCACAGACGUGGCUCGAAUCUGGCAUUACUUUGGCUGUGGUGUAGGCCAGCGGCUAUAGCUCCGAUUCAACCCUUAGGCUGGGAACCUCCAUAUGCCAUGGGUGUG